UGAGGAAUCUUGGACAAUGGGCGCAAGCCUGAUCCAGCCAUGCCGCGUGCAGGAAGAAGCAUCUAUGGUGUGUAAACUGCUUUUGUACGGGAAGAAACACUCCUACGUGUAGGAGCUUGACGGUACCGUAAGAAUAAGGAUCGGCUAACUCCGUGCCAGCAGCCGCGGUAAUACGGAGGAUCCAAGCGUUAUCCGGUAUCAUUGGGUUUAAAGGGUCCGUAGGCGGUUUAAUAAGUCAGUGGUGAAAGACCAUCGCUCAACGAUGGAACGGCCAUUGAUACUGUUAGACUUGAAUUACAAGGAAGUAACUAGAAUAUGUAGUGUAGCGGAGGAAUGCUGAGAUAUUACAUAGAAUACCAAUUGAGAAGACAGGGUACGACUAAUGGAUUGACGCUGAUGGACGAAAGAGUGGGGAGAGAACA
rnacentral:rRNA from 1 species